UACGUAGGAGACGAGCGUUGUCCGGAGUUACUGGGCGUAAAGGGUGCGCAGGUGGCGGCGCGCGUGGGGGGUGAAAUCGCCCGGCUUAACUGGGCGUGGGCCUUCCAGACGGCGUGGCUUGAGCAGCGGAGGGGGACGUGGAAUUCCGGGUGGAGCGGUGAAAUGCGUAGAUAUCGUAAGGAAGACCAGUGGCGAAGGCGGGUCUCUGGACAGUUCCUGACGCUGAGGCACGAAGGCCAGGGGAGCAAACGGG
rnacentral:rRNA from 1 species